UACGUAGGGAGCGAGCGUUGUCCGGAUUUAUUGGGCGUAAAGAGCGUGUAGGCGGCCAGGUAGGUCAGCUGUGAAAACUCGAGGCUCAACCUCGAGCUGUCGGCUGAAACCAUCUGGCUAGAGUCCGGAAGAGGAGAAUGGAAUUCCCGGUGUAGCGGUGAAAUGCGCAGAUAUCGGGAAGAACACCCGUGGCGAAGGCGGUUCUCUGGGACGGUACUGACGCUGAGACGCGAAAGCGUGGGGAGCGAACAGG
rnacentral:rRNA from 1 species